AACCGAUCAGUUUUUGGCCGGAGGAUGGUAGAUGGGAGUUGGUGAUGCGUACGUUGGCGCUGGGGGGUGGUACUCAGGCUCAGGCUUUGGUUUGGGCUCAGGCUUAGGCUUCGGUGGCACAGGUUUCUUGUGGAAGUGGUCAAAGAACUUGUGAUAGUCAUGGUCCUUGUGGAAGUGAUCAAGGAAGUGCUUCUUGUCAAACGAUAUUUCUUUCACAACCGGAGGGUGGUAGAUCGGAGUCGGAGACCCGUAUGUGGGUGUCGGGGGGUGGUACUCAGGCUUAGGCUGCGGCUUUGGCUUUGGUGGCACGGGCUUCUUGUGGAAGUGGUCAAAGAUGUGGUGGUAGUCAUGGUGUUUGUGGAAGUCAUCGUGCAAGGGAUUCUUGUCGAACAAGUGCCUGGCAGGAGGGUGGUAGAUUGGUGUAGGUGACCCAUAUGUUGGCGUUGGUGGGUGGUACUCAGGCUCAGGUUGAGGUUUGGGCUCUGGCUUGGGCUUGGGUGGCACAGGCUUCUUGUGGAAGUGGUAAAAAAAGUGGUGGUAGUCAUGGCCUUUAUGAAAGUGAUCAGGCUCAGGCUGCGGCUUAGGCUGCGGCUUGGGCUCCGGCUUUGGCUUUGGUGGCACGGGCUUCUUGUGGAAGUGGUCGAAGAAGUGGUGGUAGUCGUGGUCCUUAUGAAAAUGGUCGAGCAAGGGCUUCUUGUCAAACAAAUGUCUAGCUGGAGGGUGGUAGAUCGGUGUGGGUGACCCGUAUGUUGGAGUCGGAGGGUGGUAUUCUGGCUGUGGCUUGGGCUCUGGCUUCGGCUUUGGUGGAACUGGCUUCUUGUGGAAGUGGUCAAAGAAGUGGUGUGGCUUAGGUUCUGGUUCUGGUUUGGGUUCUGGCUUCGGCUUCAGCGGAGAUGGCUUCUUGUGGAAGUGGUCCAAGAAGUGGUGAUAGUCGUGGUCCUUGUGGAAGUGAUCAACCAUGUGCUUCUUGUCGAACAACUGCCUUGCUGGAGGAUGGUAGAUUGGAGUUGGGGAUCGAUAUGUUGGCGUAGGGGAGUGGUACUUCGGCUGCGGCUUAGGUUCUGGCUUUGGCUUUGGCUCUGGCUUCGGCUUCGGUGGCACAGGCUUCUUGUGGAAAUGGUCCAACAGGUGCUUCUUGAUCGGCCCGCAUAGGGUUGCCGACGCGCAUUCUGCCGACGGGUAGUCUGUCUUGCCAGGGACCACGACGAAGUUGCCAUCGGACGACUGCGGC
rnacentral:lncRNA from 1 species